AAUCAACGCUGGCGGCGUGCCUAACACAUGCAAGUCGAACGCGAAAGUGGAGCAAUCCAUGAGUAGAGUGGCAAACGGGUGAGUAACACGUGGGUGACCUGCCUUCGAGUGGGGGAUAACGUUUCGAAAGGAACGCUAAUACCGCAUAACAUCCUGCCUUUUAAGAGGUGGAGAGCAAAGCCGGGGAUCGUAAGACCUGGCGCUUGAAGAGGGGCCCGCGUCUGAUUAGCUAGUUGGUGGGGUAAUGGCUCACCAAGGCAACGAUCAGUAUCCGGCCUGAGAGGGCGGACGGACACACUGGGACUGAGACACGGCCCAGACUCCUACGGGAGGCUG
rnacentral:rRNA from 1 species